UCUAGAGACGGUAAGAAAAUACUUUACACCAAGAUACACGGUAUUUCUGUAACAGUGUAAUGGAUACACGGGUUGUAGGUGUUUUCGUCCUGGUGCUUCUGUUCCUAGGAAGCCCAACUUCGGCAGAUAACUGCCGCACAGACGGGUACAAAGGUUUGAUCUUCUGCACCAAACUGUUCUGCAAGUUGACUUGUGCCGAUAUAGCGCGAGGACAGGGUGGCCAUCAGAAAGAAGCUCAUUGCCAUGGCCACGAGUGUAAAUGCACGAUUUGCUUCAACCAGUAAAAUUACGUGUAUAUAUUGAAUAAGGAUGUCUACUACCACUAUGUAUUCCACGACGAUUUAUGUCGUUCUUGCAAAAAAGAAAUAAAUAAUACACAUGGUGUUCCGUUUUCGUAA